UGUGCUUGUGUAUCCCUCCUGACCCCCAGCCCGGGCUGACCCCCCCGGGGGAAGAAGGAGGGGGGUGUUGGGGGGGGGGGGGAGGAGGAAGAGGAGGAGGAGGAGGAGGAGGGGGGGGGCGCAGGCACUUCUGCAGGCGCAGCCCUUUCGCAUCAAGUGAGGACUAAUACCAUUCCUGGGCCUGCUCUCUUUUUCCCUUCCUGCAUUAGAGAUUGGCUAUAAGGAGAAGGCUGACGGCUGCAGCAUGAAGCGCAUUAUUACCUUGUGAUUCCAUGACCCUCCUCUAUGCAUCCCUAACUCUCGAAAGCUGAUUCAGCUUUCAGCUAGUGCUCUGGUGAGUCCUCUGCUGCAACAGAAGCUCCUAACUGAACAGCCACAAUUGCAUUGCGCAUGUUUUUCUGAUAAGAGCAAGCCCAGGAGCUCAGCGAGCCUAGGUGGGUCGAGGACGUUGGAUGACGCUCGCCCACCACCACUUACUCUUGGUGGUAGCUGCAGGAUGGGAACCACGGGGUGCCUCUGGCGUCACCGUUAAAAGCACCGUCACGCCAUUUUUCUGCUCCUCCACCAAAAAGCACAACCCUGGAAAGCGCGAGCUUCCACCCAGAGCCUCAAAGCAAAUUUAAAUCUCCAGGAUGAACUUUGCUGCCGUGGUUGUGUCAUUGUCUUCAGUUUUAGUGAGGAUUUAAAAGGUCAUUAUU